UACGGGGGGGGUAAGCGUUGUUCGGAAUUACUGGGCGUAAAGGGCUCGUAGGUGGCCAACUAAGUCAGACGUGAAAUCCCUCGGCUUAACCGGGGAACUGCGUCUGAUACUGGAUGGCUAGAGUUUGGGAGAGGGAUGCGGAAUUCCAGGUGUAGCGGUGAAAUGCGUAGAUAUCGGGAGGAACACCUGUGGCGAAAGCGGCGCACUGGACCACAACUGACGCUGAGGCGCGAAAGCCUAGGGGAGCAAACAGG
rnacentral:rRNA from 1 species